GUAGUCUCGCACAGAUGCAUAUCAAUAAGCGGAGGAAAAGAAACUAACAAGGAUUCCCUCAGUAACGGCGAGUGAAGCGGGAAGAGCUCAAAUUUGAAAUCUUGAAAGGUCUACCUUUGCACGAAUUGUAGUUUAAAGAAGUGUUUUCCGUUACGAUCGUAAUAUAAGUUCUUUGGAAUAGGACAUCACAGAGGGUGAGAAUCCCGUCUAUGAUUGCGAUUUGUAGCUUUGUGAUACACUUUCAAAGAGUCGGGUUGUUUGGGAAUGCAGCCCAAAACGGGAGGUAAAUUUCUUCUAAGGCUAAAUAUUGGCGAGAGACCGAUAGCGAACAAGUACCGUGAGGGAAAGAUGAAAAGAACUUUGAAAAGAGAGUUAAAUAGUACGUGAAAGUUGUCAAAAGGGAAGCGUUUAACACCAGUGUUGUUUUCUGAAAAUCAACCUCUGUUAGCUUUAUGCAUGUUUGUUUAGACCUAAUCAGCUAUCUUGCAUGUUCUAUUGUUUGCAGUGGUGCACUUUUCAGUUUACAGGUCAACAUCAGUUUUUUUUACCGUAAAAAAGUUAAAGAAAGGUAGCUCAUGGCUCCGGUCGUGAGUGUUAUAGUCUUUUUCCUAUGCGGUAGGAGAGACUGAGGUCUGCAGUGUAGGCUAUUUGGCUAGAUACUCAGGUGCUAUGUGAUACCAUUUCAUAAACAACUUGUUGAUUAUGUAUUUGUCUAUUGCAUACUCGCUUGUACUAUCAUACCUACGCUUAGGAUGUUGAAGAUGUAGCACAUCAU
rnacentral:rRNA from 1 species